UACCUUUCCAUCAAUUCUCUCCAAUCCUCCUCUUCAUCGUCCCCCUCCCUUUCUCCUCUGGCCUCCGGUUCCGUUGUAAAGCAGCUACAGAGAGGGACGUAUAUAGAGACCGAGACAGAUACGGAUACAGACGCAGAGACGAAAGAGAAUGGGAAAUCAUUUGACAAUGAGAUGCCAGAUCUGUACCACCAGCCUCAGAUUUUCAAAUUGA
rnacentral:misc_RNA from 1 species